GACGAACGCUGGCGGCGUGCCUAAUACAUGCAAGUCGAGCGAAGUUUUUCUGGUGCUUGCACUAGAAAAACUUAGCGGCGAACGGGUGAGUAACACGUAAAGAACCUGCCUCAUAGACUGGGACAACUAUUGGAAACGAUAGCUAAUACCGGAUAACAGUAUUUCUCGCAUGAGAGAUAUUUAAAAGUUGGUUAUGCUAACACUAUGAGAUUGCUUUGCGGUGCAUUAGCUAGUUGGUGGGGUAAAGGCCCACCAAGGCGACGAUGCAUAGCCGACCUGAGAGGGUGCUCGGCCACACUGGGACUGAGACACGGCCCAGACUCCUACGGGAGGCAGCAGUAGGGAAUCUUCCGCAAUGGGCGAAAGCCUGACGGAGCAACGCCGCGUGAGUGAAGAAGGAUUUCGGUUCGUAAAGCUCUGUUGUUAGGGAAGAAUGGAUAUGUAGUAACUAUACAUGUAAGAGACGGUACCUAACCAGAAAGCCACGGCUAACUACGUG
rnacentral:rRNA from 1 species